rnacentral:lncRNA from 1 species
UGUUGUUAGUACAUCAAGCUCUAAGAAGUCACGAAUAGAAGAUGAUCAGGUUAUAAAGUCUUGGCUAGAGCAAUUGACAAGAAGUUCUAUAAGUAUUGGGAUCGCAAUUACAACAUGUUUCUUGUCAUUGCUACCAUUCUUGAUCCAAGAUAGAAAUUUGAUUUCCUAGACUUCUUCUAUGAGAAGGUUUGUGAGAAUUUAAUUGACGUUGACUUGAGCAAAGAUUUGGC